CAGCAGCCGCGGGAAUACAGAGGGUGCGAGCGUUAAUCGGAUUUACUGGGCGUAAAGCGUGUGUAGGUUGUUGUUCAAGUCAGUUGUGAAAUCCCUGGGCUCAACCUGGGAACUGCUUCUGAGACUGAACGACUAGAGUACGGUAGAGGGUGGUGGAAUUUCCGGUGUAGCUGUGAAAUGCGUAGAUAUAGGAAGGAACACCAGUGGCGAAGGCGACCACCUGGACUCAUACUGACACUGAGGUGCGAAAGCGUGGGGAGCAAACAGGAUUAGAGACCCCCGUAGUCCCUGUCUCUUAUAC
rnacentral:rRNA from 1 species